rnacentral:rRNA from 1 species
ACGCCUCGUGUAGCAAUACUCGAGGCGGACUGAGUGGCGAAAGGGGCAGUAAUGCGUGGGUAACCUACCCUGGGGAUGGGCAUAGCCGGUCUAACGGCCGGGUAAUUCCCAGCGACGUUGCGAGAGGACAUCCUUUUGCAACCAAAUGAAUUUCGCCCUGGGAGGGGCUCACGUCGUAUUAGCUUGUUGGCGGGGUAACGGCCCACCAAGGCAAAGAUGCGUAGCGGGUGUGAGAGCACGACCCGCGCCACUGGCACUGAGACACUGGCCAGACACCUACGGGUGGCUGCAGUCGAGGAUCUUCGGCAAUGGGCGCAAGCCUGACCGAGCGACGCCGCGUGUGCGAUGAAGGCCUUCGGGUUGUAAAGCACUGUCGAGGGGGAUAAAACCGCAAGGUUGAUAGAUCCCUGGAGGAAGCACGGGCUAAGUUCGUGCCAGCAGCCGCGGUAAGACGAACCGUGCGAACGUUGUUCGGAAUCACUGGGCUUAAAGGGCGCGUAGGCGGUUUGCCAAGUCAGGGGUGAAAUCCUGCAGCUCAACUGUAGAAGUGCCUUUGAUACUGGCGAACUCGAGGGAGGUAGGGGUCGCUGGAACUUCUGGUGGAGCGGUGAAAUGCGUUGAUAUCAGAAGGAACGCCGGUGGCGAAAGCGAGCGACUGGAUCUCUUCUGACGCUGAGGCGCGAAAGCCAGGGGAGCAAACGGGAUUAGAUACCCCGGUAGUCCUGGCCCUAAACGAUGGGCACUAGAUUGCAGACUGAUCAUGGGUUUGCAAUCGAAGCAAAAGUGUUAAGUGCCCCGCCUGGGGAGUAUGGUCGCAAGGCUGAAACUC